AAAAGGAAUAAAAAGAAUUACAAAACUUUGGAGUGCACAGAGUGAAUAAUACACCAGAAAGAAUAACAAAUAAAUGACUCCUUGAUUUUAAUCCAGUCGUCAGCAUUUAACUCAUACGGAUGCGCGUGUGUCUGUUUACUCAGGUAAACAAGCUGCUAACAACAAGUUGCUUUCGGAGGAGAUAGACCAUCCUGGUGAUCUGGACCAUUUUUACUGGAAAUGUGUCAUGUGACACCUAUAGACCCCCAAAAUACACAUCACCAAGAAAACAAUAAGUAUCACAAACACUCAAAUUAGAUUAGAUUCAACUUUAUUGUCAUUACACAUGUACAAGUACAGAACAACGAAAUGCAGUUUGGCAUCCAACCAGAAGUGCAACAGAAAGUAUCAUAAUAAAUACAGGAUAUACAGAUUAUAGUAAAUAAAGCGCUCUACAAGAGGGCGACUUAAGGCCUGACCUGGUACUAUUGGUAAUAAGUUAGACAAAACAGGAGGCAGAUUAACAUUAAAUAAUGCGGAGAUAUAAACAUAAACUAUCGGGUUGCUAAACUAGUGCAAAUAUUCAGUGCAUAUUCACUUGAGAGUGCAACGAAUGGCAAAAAUUAAAAGCAAAAUAACGAGGAGGCGUGUCCAUUGAACCAGACUCUGUGUCAACCAAUCAAAUACAUCCCAGCACAUUGCUGCUGGAUCUUUGGUUCUUUUACACGAAGGAUCUUUCCUCUGACCAAAGAUCAAACCACAGUAAAGCAUGUGAGGAGAAUGAAACCUCUGUGUGCUCAUCUGACAGCGCUUCAAACGUUGGAUCUGCUUCUCAAACUGGAGUCCUGGACCGGACCUGAAUGUCCUUCCAGGCUGUUUGUAGUUGUAGUUGUAGUUUUCUACAGGCUCAUGCCCUCUGGCCCAGAGGCCUGAGGAACACCUCACAACCUGUUCUGCAUAGGAACUAAUGGAAAGUUAACAGCUUCCAAAUAAUCACAAAUGAAUCUUGUUGGGGAAAGAAGUCCAUACUUAAAAGAACAAGGACGAUAUAGUAAAGAUCAGAUCGGAAGAGUAGAUUUAUCUUUCUUGAUUCAGAGGCCUCUAAAUAAGAAUCAGAGAGAGAGUCCGCUCACACGUAUUAUAUUACAUGUCAUGUCAUGUAGCAGACGCUUUUAUCCAAAGCGACUUACAAUAAGUGAAUUCAACCAAGAGUACAAACUCAGAACAACAAGAAUACAGAAAGUAACAUUUCUUCAAGAAAGUCGAACUACAAAAGUACCAUAAGUAAUACCAUAGUAAGAGCCAUUGAAGUGCCACUGAAGUGCUAAUCUGUGUUUUAAUCCAAAUAUUAUCGAAAAAGAUGUGUUUUUAGUUUCCGGUGAAGCUGUAGAGACUUCCUGCUGUCCUGAUGUCAGUGGGGAGCUGGUUCCACCACUGAGGAGCAGGACAGCAAACAGUCUGGAUGUAGAGCGAUGAGCUCGAGGUGCAGGAGUCACAAGACGAUUGGCUGUUGCCGAGCGGAGCGAACGGGCCGGGGUGUACGGUGUGACCACAUCCAGGAUGUAGACGGGGCCCGAUCCGUUCAGAGCACGGUACCAAGAACCAGUGUUCUGAAGCGGAUGCUGCUCCACCGGUAACCAUGGAGAGAGCGGAGGAGUGGUGGAGAGGUGGAGAGAUAGAGAGGUGGAGAGGUAGAGAGGUAGAGAGAUAGAGAG